GCCACAGAUGAGACGCUCCAUCACUCCACCUCUUACUGUCUCAUCAGGACCAGAUGUUGCUGUGGUCUCUUCAUCCUCAGUGACCCCAGAGCCAGCGAGAGCAUCUAGAGAAACACGAAAAGACACUGAGGAUGGACCCCAAUCCCCCAGCAGCCACCUGGAGUAAAGAGCCUUGCUGAAGGACACACCGGUGGUGACGGCUGCGGAGCUCGAACCAGUAACCUUCUGCUGACCAGUGCAGUGCUUUAGCCCACUACACCACAAAAAUAGUGGUGCUCAUGGAGAGCAGCACACAGAUGUUUGGAGCAGACAGAGUGACAGUCAGAUUGUCCCGCACAUGUUC